rnacentral:tRNA from 1 species
AAGCUUAGGUUAAUCAAACCAGAGGCCUUCAAAGCCCCAAACAAGAGUUUACCAACCCUCCUAGCUUCU